GAUGAACGCUGGCGGCGUGCCUAAUACAUGCAAGUCGAGCGAACGGACGAGAAGCUUGCUUCUCUGAUGUUAGCGGCGGACGGGUGAGUAACACGUGGAUAUCCUACCUAUAAGACUGGGAUAACUUCGGGAAACCGGAGCUAAUACCGGAUAAUAUUUUGAACCGCAUGGUUCAAAAGUGAAAGACGGUCUUGCUGUCACUUAUAGAUGGAUCCGCGCUGCAUUAGCUAGUUGGUAAGGUAACGGCUUACCAAGGCAACGAUGCAUAGCCGACCUGAGAGGGUGAUCGGCCACACUGGAACUGAGACACGGUCCAGACUCCUACGGGAGGCAGCAGUAGGGAAUCUUCCGCAAUGGGCGAAAGCCUGACGGAGCAACGCCGCGUGAGUGAUGAAGGUCUUCGGAUCGUAAAACUCUGUUAUUAGGGAAGAACAUAUGUGUAAGUAACUGUGCACAUCUUGACGGUACCUAAUCAGAAAGCCACGGCUAACUACGUGCCAGCAGCCGCGGUAAUACGUAGGUGGCAAGCGUUAUCCGGAAUUAUUGGGCGUAAAGCGCGCGUAGGCGGUUUUUUAAGUCUGAUGUGAAAGCCCACGGCUCAACCGUGGAGGGUCAUUGGAAACUGGAAAACUUGAGUGCAGAAGAGGAAAGUGGAAUUCCAUGUGUAGCGGUGAAAUGCGCAGAGAUAUGGAGGAACACCAGUGGCGAAGGCGACUUUCUGGUCUGUAACUGACGCUGAUGUGCGAAAGCGUGGGGAUCAAACAGGAUUAGAUACCCCGGUAGUCCACGCCGUAAACGAUGAGUGCUAAGUGUUAGGGGGUUUCCGCCCCUUAGUGCUGCAGCUAACGCAUUAAGCACUCCGCCUGGGGAGUACGACCGCAAGGUUGAAACUCAAAGGAAUUGACGGGGACCCGCACAAGCGGUGGAGCAUGUGGUUUAAUUCGAAGCAACGCGAAGAACCUUACCAAAUCUUGACAUCCUUUGACAACUCUAGAGAUAGAGCUUUCCCCUUCGGGGGACAAAGUGACAGGUGGUGCAUGGUUGUCGUCAGCUCGUGUCGUGAGAUGUUGGGUUAAGUCCCGCAACGAGCGCAACCCUUAAGCUUAGUUGCCAUCAUUAAGUUGGGCACUCUAAGUUGACUGCCGGUGACAAACCGGAGGAAGGUGGGGAUGACGUCAAAUCAUCAUGCCCCUUAUGAUUUGGGCUACACACGUGCUACAAUGGACAAUACAAAGGGCAGCGAAACCGCGAGGUCGAGCAAAUCCCAUAAAGUUGUUCUCAGUUCGGAUUGUAGUCUGCAACUCGACUACAUGAAGCUGGAAUCGCUAGUAAUCGUAGAUCAGCAUGCUACGGUGAAUACGUUCCCGGGUCU
rnacentral:rRNA from 1 species